CUGUCGCUCGGCGCCAGCGUCUCUAGUUUCUGACGUGGCGUUAGAAUCUCUCCUCUCGCGAGAGGAUCCGCGAAAGCGUCCAGGUUAAUUGCAAAGCACUAUUUCAGCAUUCCCGUUCUUCAACAGAACACACCUUCAGUCCUCUUUUAGUAGCGGCUGCUUCUUCCACACCAGCAAAGGCACUUUUCAUAAAACCGGGCAAGAGGGAGAGAGCACAAGCAGGGGGAGCAGCAGGC